AUGGUUUUGAAAAAAAGAAAAGGGGAAAGGGUCUUAAUGCUUUGGGCAGGGACGAUUUCCGGCGAUCGGACCACCGUCCGUCCGUCACCGGCAAUCGCCGUAUAUGGCGGCUGGAAGCGCAAAAUCGACCCCUUUUUAACCUUUUUGUUCCCCUUACCCUAGAUCCGUAGUUGAAGCGCCCAAAAACCUCACGAAAACCGACUGAAAUCAAGAGAAACUUCUCGGUUCUACUCUCCGAUCGCCCCAAACAAGGUGGUGGUUGAACGGUGGAGCAGAGGCUAGUAUGGGGGUUGACAGAGAUGAUGGGACAGAGGCGGCGGCUAGGGUUCUUUUUUCUGUUAAUGUUUUGGGCUGAUGUUAGUGGGUUAGGGUUUGUUUAAUUUGGGCUGGUAGUUUAGGUUUUAUUUUGUUUUGGGUUAAAGGUUGUUGGGCCACUCGGGUUUGAUUGUAAACGGGCUAAAAUUGGCCUACAACAAGUGUUUUUUUUUUUUGGAAUAUUAAUCUAAUUAUAGGUUCUUAUCA